rnacentral:misc_RNA from 1 species
GAAAUGCGAUACGUCAUGCGAAUUGCAAAACCAGUGAGUCAUCAAAACUUUGAACGCAACUUGCACUUCCCCCUGGGGAGUAUGCCUGUUGGAGUGCUUGUUCAUCCCCACCAUCAACCCCAUUUCUCAGAUCUGGAGUAGAUGAAGUCCACCUAUUCAUCGCAAGGUGAAUAGAGUGCAGAUGAAUAAAAAUCAAAUAUCCGAUCCUCGGUUGUCAUGACCCGGGAACGCGACGUCAAAGUGUCUAACACUUGAAUCGUGUUCUCAGUCUUGGCGUUAAGACCAAGUCCCGGUAUUUUUCGAUCGAGCCUCCAAUCAGACAAGAAUACCCGCUGAAUUUAA